rnacentral:rRNA from 1 species
UACGUAGGGUGCAAGCGUUAAUCGGAAUUACUGGGCGUAAAGCGUGCGCAGGCGGUUAUAUAAGACAGAUGUGAAAUCCCCGGGCUCAACCUGGGAAUUGCGCUUGUGACUGCAAAGCUGGAGUGCGGCAGAGGGGGAUGGAAUUCCGCGUGUAGCAGUGAAAUGCGUAGAUAUGCGGAGGAACACCGAUGGCGAAGGCAAUCCCCUGGGCCUGCACUGACGCUCAUGCACGAAAGCGUGGGGAGCAAACAGG